rnacentral:rRNA from 1 species
GGCGAACGCUGGCGGCGUGCCUAAUACAUGCAAGUCGAACGCAUUUUCUUUCACCGUAGCUUGCUACACCGAAAGAAAAUGAGUGGCGAACGGGUGAGUAACACGUGGGUAACCUGCCCAUCAGCGGGGGAUAACACUUGGAAACAGGUGCUAAUACCGCAUAAUUCCAUUUACUGCAUGGUAGAUGGAUGAAAGGCGCUUUUGCGUCACUGAUGGAUGGACCCGCGGUGCAUUAGCUAGUUGGUGGGGUAACGGCCUACCAAGGCUGCGAUGCAUAGCCGACCUGAGAGGGUGAUCGGCCACACUGGGACUGAGACACGGCCCAGACUCCUACGGGAGGCAGCAGUAGGGAAUCUUCGGCAAUGGACGCAAGUCUGACCGAGCAACGCCGCGUGAGUGAAGAAGGUUUUCGGAUCGUAAAACUCUGUUGUUAGAAAAGAACAAGGAUGAGAGUGGAAAGUUCAUCCCUUGACGGUAUCUAACCAGAAAGCCACGGCUAACUACGUG